rnacentral:lncRNA from 13 species
UUUUUUUCCUGGCUCAUAUUUUAGUCUGUGUGUCAAAAUGGAGAAAAUGAGUUAUGUCUUCUCCCUUUUUCUCUCUCUCAUUUUUGCUAAAAUAGGGCAGCCUGACAAGGAGCCAAGCUUUUCAAGAGAUGGAGCUUCAUUACAUUGUUUACUCCAGUCUCGAGCUCCUGGGCUCCAGUGAUCCUGCCAUCUCAGCCUCCCACAGUGCUGCUAUUACAGAAGUGAGCCACCAUG